rnacentral:rRNA from 1 species
UACAGAGGUCCCAAGCGUUGUUCGGAUUCAUUGGGCGUAAAGGGUGCGUAGGUGGCGCUGUAAGUCAGGUGUGAAAUUUCGGGGCUUAACCCCGAAACUGCACUUGAUACUGCGGUGCUUGAGGACUGGAGAGGAGACUGGAAUUUACGGUGUAGCAGUGAAAUGCGUAGAUAUCGAGAGGAACACCUGCGGCGAAGGCGGGUUGCUGGGCUGACACUGACGCUGAGGCGCGAAAGCCAGGGGAGCGAACGGG